ensembl:lncRNA
AAAUAAAAUAAAAAUAAUAAUAAUAAUAAAAAAGAAAAAUUGAAAAAAGAAAAAGACCUUUCCAUAUUUACUUCUCUCCCUUUAAUAUACAACACACAGUAAAAUAUACAUUACAAAGAAGCAUUGAUAUUAUUGACAUUGAACAAAGUAUAAAAGAUUUUAAGGCUUUGGCAUUAUUGAAGAUCUAAGUUACAUUUCAGGUCUUUACAACAAAAAAUAAUAAAAAGAAGUUUCACAGAAAAAAAAAAAAGUUUAAAAAUUGUCCAGAAAAAUAAAUCGAUUUAUUAGGAAAUAUUUGUCUUCUAUAAAAACCAAAUAACACAUCUUUAAACACCAAAGAAAAAAAAAACACAAAUAAGUAACUCACAGCUACAACAGACAUUAACAACAACACAAAAAUGAUGAAGAACCAGGAAAAUGGUUACACAAAAGAGGUUAUGUGCAUUUCUUCACUCAUACACAUUCUCAAUGGUAACUGAAAAUAAAUAAAGUGAAUAGUGAUUAAUAAUAAGCUCGGGAGGAGACGGUAAAGGGGGCUGUAAGAGGCCACUAAAAAUCUACAAUUUUUAUCAUUUAGAAACAUAAAUAUAUUUGUAUAAAGUCUUAUAUAAGAAAUAAUAUUAAAAAAACUCCCAUCUAUCUAUAUUUUGUGCUCUCCGUCCAAUUCAGUACAUAACUGAACUCACACAAUGAAACAUAACUCUGUGGUCCCAAUAUGACAGUUUUCAUAUUUUGUACUUGUGCAUUAAAGGGGUCAUAUGAUGCUGCUAAAAAGAACAUUAUUUUGUGUAUUUGGUGUGUGGAAUUACAAAUAUUUAAAAUCUUAAAUCUAGGUUCCAAUGUAAUAGUUUAUAAACUAAAAAAGUUAUGUACAUUGUGUUUUACAUUUUGAGGUAAAAAAAGGAUCAAAUCAGGAAGCCCAGGUGUCUGAGAUAAUGAUCUUUUGUCUUUGUGCUCUUCCUUGCCAUUUGGCUUUUUAAGACUGAUUGGAUUAGCACCUAUGCAUUUGAAGGACACUGUUAUGCUGAUGAGAUCAGCGAUGGGGAAACUCCUGUAACAGGAGUUUCCUGUACUGCAUUUGCAUGCUUUGCUUAGAUGGUCUCCACCUCUAUGUAUGCCUCCCCCUUGAAAUGUAUAUAAACCACAAUGUAUCAAUGACUAGUUAGACUUUUGAUGACUUCAGCGCCAUCCAGCGCGUUCUCAAUAAAGAAUUCUGCUGAAGAUUACCCAAGAGUCUCCUGGUCUUCACUUUUGAGUUUCCAACAGGUGUAAUGAAAUGUGUUUAUGCGGUUUAAGGUUUAAAAAAACACAUUAUUUUCCACAUACUGUACAUUAUUGUUUCUCCUCUAUGCCCCGCCUUCUGAAACGUGUCGAUUUUCACAAAGCUUAUCACUCUGAAAAGCGAGGUGUGCUGUGAUUGGCCAGCUAUCCAGUGCGUUGUUAUUGGCCGAAUGCCUCAAGGAUGUGACGGAAAUGCUACACCCCUCACCAUACUGUGAUGCCCUGUCCGGCCGGAGCGAAGAGACGUAAACAUAAAACCCAUUAUAAACGUGAUAUAAACAUGAUUUCUAGUCGUGUUUACUUUUGGAAGGCCAAACAAAGUAGUUUUGCUUUCUCAACGAAACAACGUCACACACUGCAGCCUUGAGUGAGUGAAGACUGGAGGCCUAGAGUGAGCGGAGGCUGGAGGUCUAGAGUGAGCGGAGGUCAGAGGUCUAGAGUGAGCCGCGGUCUAGCGUGAGCGGAGGCUGCAGGUCUAGAGUGAGCCGUGGUCUAGAGUGAGCGGAGGCUGGAGGUCUAGAGUGAGCAGAGGUCUAGAGUGAGCCGCGGUCUAGAGUGAGCGGAGGUCAGAGGUCUAGAGUGAGUCGCGGUCUAGGUUGAGCGGAGGCUGCAGGUCUAGAGUGAGCAGCGGUCUAGAGUGAGCGCAGGCUGGAGGUCUAGAGUGAGCCGCGGUCUAGAGUGAGCGGAGGCUGCAGGUCUAGAGUGAGCGGAGGCUGGAGGUCUAGAGUGAGCCGCGGUCUAGAGUGAGCGGAGGCUGGAGGUCUAGAGUGAGCCGCGGUCUAGAGUGAGCGGAGGCUGGAGGUCUAGAGUGAGCCGCGGUCUAGAGUGAGCGGAGGCUGGAGGUCUAGAGUGAGCCGCGGUCUAGAGUGAGCGGAGGCUGGAGGUCUAGAGUGAGCCGCGGCUGGAGGUCUAGAGUGAGCGGAGGCUGCAGGUCUAGAGUGAGCAGAGGCUGGUGGCUUGAGAACGGUGCGGCAGGCAGAUUCUACGAAGGAGCGUACCUUGGUCUUGCAGCAACCACAUGUGAUGACCCUGGGCUGGACGCCGCUUCGUACAUGGUGAAAGCUGAUCCUGCGAUCCACAGUGCAAAGUUGAUGUAUAUCCUCAGCGACCAGCACGGAUCAGCUCCAGGCAUAACGAAGCGGAUAUCGUCCUCUUUUGGAAGUAGUUUUGCUUUCACAUGAAACACACAGCGUCUAUACGACAUGGCGGCGGCGGCGGCAACAACAAUACUACAACGAGAAUAAAAGCUACACCUUCUUUCUUUGUGUGAACAUCUAGGCCCGUGUUAUGCAAAUCUUCACACAUACUGACGUAGAGAUGUGGGGCGUGUUAGAACAAGCCGUUUCAGGGGGGCGUGGACGAGUGUUAACUUUUAAAAGAAUAUCUCUUUGGGUUUGAGACUUUAGUCUUUGCAGCUUUACAGAUCUUCUUUAUGCACCAAGAGCUUGUAACACUCCAAAGAGAAAGGAAAAUUUGAAAUCGCAUCAUGUGACCUCUUUAAACAGGCAGCUUCCAGUAACAUGAAUGACACUCUAACAAUCAUGUUCAUGUGUUUAAAUGGAGUCAGUGUUUUAAUUAUUAGGAUGACUGUAAUCGUUCAAUCUCAGGUUUUUACAGUUCAUAGGUCACUUCUCCAGAAUAAAAAGGACAAGUUGAAUGCUUUUGGUCACUCUCCUGUACGGGCUUGCUAUCUGUAGUUUCCACUGUGGGUGAUGCCUUCUUCUUACAGCAGAAAAGAAGAAGACGAAAGCAAAUGAAGAGUGAGAAACAAAUAAAGAGUGAGAAAGAUGAG